rnacentral:tRNA from 1 species
GGCAAGGUGCUAGAGUGGUGAUUAGGUGAGACUCGAAUCUUCCGAACGAUAUCUCAUGCCUUCGGGCGCGCAGGUUCGAAUCCUGUCCUUGUCG